CUCUUUUUUUUUACCCUUCCUAGAAUCUGACAGGCCACAGAAAUAUCUGAUUUCCAAGAGAUGCUCGCAUUCUAUACUGAUGCCAUCUAGGAGUGUAAAUGCCCAAUAUCAUGCUGCCGAGUGGAGAAAGGGAGGGAGUAGGAUGUUGGGAGAAAGAUGAUUUCCUGCAGUCUUCUAAUUCAGAAGAUGGAGGUUAUCUUCCUACAGUAUUGUUUAUUUGUUUUCUUCUCAAAUGACUGAUUGAAGUUGAGUAUCAACAAUAUAGUGACAUUUUCUGGAAAGUAUGAAGACCACAACGACUCUUUGUUUUCAAAUAUUUUGUUCCAGAAAUUGUGCAAGUCAUGGCCAGCAAGGAGAAUUAUAUGAUGGUGUUCCUCCAAGAGUGAUAAAUUUUGACAGUCAGUUUAGCAGGAAGCACAGUUUUCAUUCCCAUCUCAUGAUCCAAGUACCAAGAAGUUCUCUUCAUAACAUGUAUAAUUUCCAAAAAUUUAAAGCUUGA
rnacentral:lncRNA from 12 species